CACAGGGACACCUCCACAUCGCCAAGGUGCCGCAGGGGGAGCAAGUCCAGAUCACGCAGGACAGCGAGGGCAACCUCCAGAUCCAUCACGUGGGGCAGGAUGGUCAGAGCCCGUGUUCUGGUACUACGUGAAGGAGGUCCUCAACAAGCACGAGCUGCAAGCGCUUCUACUCCCUGCGCCACAUCGCCUCAGACGUGGGCUGGGGCCGCGCCUGGCUGCGCUGUGCCCUCAACGAACACUCCCUGGAGUGCUACCUGCACAUGCUCCUGGCCGACCGCUGCAGGCUCAGUACUUUUUAUGAAGACUGGUCUUUUGUGAUGGAUGAAGAGAGGUCCAGUAUGCUUCCUACCAUGGCAGCAGGUCCGAACUCCAUACUCUUUGCGAUUAACAUUGACAACAAGGAUUUGAACGGGCAGAGUAAGUUUGCUCCCACCGUUUCAGACCUCUUAAAGGAGUCAACGCAGAAUGUGACCUUGCUGAAGGAGUCCACGCAAGGAGUGAGCAGCGUGUUCAGGGAGAUCACAGCCUCCUCUGCCAUCUCCAUCCUCAUCAAACCUGAACAGGAGACCGACCCCUUGCCCGUCGUGUCCAGGAAUGUCAGUGCUGAUGCCAAAUGCAAAAAGGAGCGGAAGAAGAAAAAGCAAGUGACCAACAUUAACUCAUUUGAUGAUGAGGAAGAUGAGCAGAACUCUGGGGACAUGUUUAAAAAGACACCUGGGGCAGGGGAGAGCUCAGAGGACAACUCCGACCGCUCCUCUGUCAAUAUCAUGUCCGCCUUUGAAAGCCCCUUCGGGCCAAACUCCAAUGGAAGUCAGAGCAGCAACUCGUGGAAAAUUGAUUCCCUGUCUUUGAACAGGGAGUUUGGGUACCAGAAGCUUGAUGUGAAAAGCAUCGAUGAUGAAGAUGUGGAUGAAAACGAAGAUGACGUGUAUGGAAACUCAUCAGGACGGAAGCACAGGGGCCACUCAGAGUCGCCCGAGAAG